rnacentral:rRNA from 1 species
GAGUUUGAUCCUGGCUCAGGAUGAACGCUGGCGGCGUGCUUAACACAUGCAAGUCGAACGGAAAGGCCGAAGCUUGCUUCGGUACUCGAGUGGCGAACGGGUGAGUAACACGUGGGUGAUCUGCCCUGUACUUCGGGAUAAGCUUGGGAAACUGGGUCUAAUACCGGAUAUGACGAUCUCUUGGAUGGGGUUGUGGAAAGCUUUUGCGGUAUGGGAUGAGCUCGCGGCCUAUCAGCUUGUUGGUGGGGUAAUGGCCUACCAAGGCGUCGACGGGUAGCCGGCCUGAGAGGGUGUACGGCCACAUUGGGACUGAGAUACGGCCCAGACUCCUACGGGAGGCAGCAGUGGGGAAUAUUGCACAAUGGGCGCAAGCCUGAUGCAGCGACGCCGCGUGGGGAAUGACGGCCUUCGGGUUGUAAACUCCUUUCGCAAUCGACGAAGCCUUUGUGGUGACGGUAGGUUGAGAAGAAGCACCGGCUAACUACGUGCCAGCAGCCGCGGUAAUACGUAGGGUGCGAGCGUUGUCCGGAAUUACUGGGCGUAAAGAGCUCGUAGGUGGUUUGUCGCGUCGUUUGUGGAAUACCGCAGCUUAACUGCGGGGUUGCAGGCGAUACGGGCAUAACUUGAGUGCUGUAGGGGAGACUGGAAUUCCUGGUGUAGCGGUGGAAUGCGCAGAUAUCAGGAGGAACACCGAUGGCGAAGGCAGGUCUCUGGGCAGUAACUGACGCUGAGGAGCGAAAGCAUGGGGAGCGAACAGGAUUAGAUACCCUGGUAGUCCAUGCCGUAAACGGUGGGCGCUAGGUGUGAGUCCCUUCCACGGGGUUCGUGCCGUAGCUAACGCAUUAAGCGCCCCGCCUGGGGAGUACGGCCGCA